rnacentral:rRNA from 1 species
GGACUACUGGGGUAUCUAAUCCCGUUCGCUCCCCUAGCUUUCGUGCCUCAGCGUCAGAAAAGACCCAGUAAGCCGCUUUCGCUCCUGGUGUUCCUUAGGAUAUCAACGCAUUUCACCGCUCCACCCUAAGUUCCGCUUACCUCUAUCUUCCUCAAGCCCGGUAGUUUUGAGCGCUAUUCCUCGGUUGAGCCGAGGGCUUUCACACCCAACUUUCCGGGCCGCCUACGCACCCUUUAAGCCCAGUGAUUCCGAAUAACGUUUGGACGGUUCGUCUUACCGCGGCUGCUGGCAC